CCCUUAGAUGUCCUGGGCCGCACGCGCGCUACACUGAUGCAUGCAACGAGUUUAUAACCUUGGCCUGAAAGGUCUGGGUAAUCUUUUGAACAUGCAUCGUGAUAGGGAUAGAUUAUUGCAAUUGUUAAUCUUGAACGAGGAAUUCCUAGUAAACGCGAGUCAUCAGCUCGCAUUGAUUACGUCCCUGCCCUUUGUACACACCGCCCGUCGCACCUACCGAUUGAAUGGUUCGGUGAAGAUCUCGGACUUCGAUAUUUAUUCUUUAUUGAGUUUAUAUUGUGGGAAGUUAUCUAAACCUCAUCAUUUAGAGGAAGGUGAAGUCGUAACA
rnacentral:rRNA from 1 species